AUGCCUUCUCCCCGGCCAUCAAUUAGCUACCAACAUAGCGAGGCAGUGCUGGAAUAUCUGAUCACUGGUCUGGAGUCAGAAUUUAAACUUGAAGUUGAUCCAGCACUCAUCAAGGUCAUGCUUGGUGGGGUUGCAUCAGUGGAUGGAUUGUAAGAAUGUGUUUCUCAACUUAUAUCAUAUAAAAGUUACUUUGGCAGAUGAGGGUGUUGCGGAAGAGAUAGAAUAAGAGCCUUCUCUUGCCAGACUGAUGUUGAAGCUGUGGUGACCCUCGAGCAUUUAUGCAAUGGUAUAGUGGAUGAGCUAUCUAAGCCAGUCGAUAGAAAUCCGGCCAUUUUAGUCCUGGAUACUGAUGUGCAGGUGAGCAACAUGAUAUCCUUCUUAUUGUCUAUUUCUUUAAUUAUUAAAAAAGUUUUUAGCUGGAUGUUCUGCUUUACUGAAUACCUGGCUAGCUGUUGGAAGGGAUAA
rnacentral:rRNA from 1 species